rnacentral:rRNA from 2 species
GAGGAAAAGAAACUAACAAGGAUUCCCCUAGUAACUGCGAGUGAACCGGGAAAUGCUCAAAUUUUGAAUCUGGCAACCCCUCUUUUGGUUGUCCGAGUUGUAAUCUAGAGAAGCGUCUUCCGCGCUGGACCGUGUACAAGUCUCCUGGAAGGGAGCAUCAUCGAGGGUGACAAUCCCGUCUUUGACACGGACUAUCCCAGGGCUUAUGUGUCACGCUCUCAAAGAGUCGAGUUGUUUGGGAAUGCAGCUCAAAAUGGGUGGUAAAUUCCAUCUAAAGCUAAAUAUAGGCGAGAGACCGAUAGCGAACAAGUACCGUGAGGGAAAGAUGAAAAGAACUUUGGAAAGAGAGUUAAACAGUACGUGAAAUUGCUGAAAGGGAAACGCUUGAUGUCAGUCACAUUGAUUAGGGAUCAACCUCGCUUCCAUCGCUUGGUGUACUUCUUACUCAAUGGGUCAGCAUCAGUUUCGAUCGCUGUACAAGCUUGAGAGAAAUGUGCUAGUGUUAUAGUCUUUCAUCAUAUCCAGCGCUUGGGACUGAGGAACUCUGCACAGAGACUUGCCUUUUUUGUGCAUAGGUUGCUGGCAUAAUGGCCUUAAGCGACCCGUCUUGAAACACGGACCAAGGAGUCUAACAUGCCUGCGAGUAUUUGGGUGUCAAACUCGAGUGCGAAAUUAAAGUGAACCAGUCGAGAGCUCCUCUCAUAGAGCCCAUCGACGCCCGGACCAAAGUCUUUUGACCAUGGAUCUGCGGUAGAGCAUGUAUGUUGGGACCCGAAAGAUGGUGAACUAUGCCUGAAUAGGGUGAAGCCAGAGGAAACUCUGGUGGAGGCUCGUAGCGAUUCUGACGUGCAAAUCGAUCGUCAAAUUUGGGUAUAGGGGGCGAAAGACUAAUCGAACCAUCUAGUAGCUGUCCUGC